ACAACAACAUUCGGACCGUCGGUCUACCGAGCAAUGUCACCCGCUCGGUGGAAGAUCUUCCCUUUGUCGUAUAUU
rnacentral:pre_miRNA from 1 species